GACGAACGCUGGCGGCGUGCUUAACACAUGCAAGUCGAACGGAAAGGCCCUGCUUUUGUGGGGUGCUCGAGUGGCGAACGGGUGUGUAACACGUGAGUAACCUGCCCUUGACUUUGGGAUAACUUCAGGAAACUGGGCCAAAUCCCGCAUGGACUCCCCGGUUCCCUGGUGGGGUUGGAAAAUUUUCGGCGUUUGGGGAUGGACUCGCGGCUUAUCAGCUUGUUGGUGGGGUAGUGGCUUACCAAGGCUUUGACGGGUAGCCGGCCUGAGAGGGUGACCGGCCACAUUGGGACUGAGAUACGGCCCAGACUCCUACGGGAGGCAGCAGUGGGGAAUAUUGCACAAUGGGCGGAAGCCUGAUGCAGCAACGCCGCGUGCGGGAUGACGGCCUUCGGGUUGUAAACCGCUUUCGCCUGUGACGAAGCGUGAGUGACGGUAAUGGGUAAAGAAGCACCGGCUAACUACGUG
rnacentral:rRNA from 1 species